CUACGGGUGGCACCAGUGGGGAAUAUUGCACAAUGGGCGAAAGCCUGAUGCAGCAACGCCGCGUGAGGGAUGACGGCCUUCGGGUUGUAAACCUCUUUUAGCAGGGAAGAAGCGAAAGUGACGGUACCUGCAGAAAAAGCACCGGCUAACUACGUGCCAGCCGCCGCGGUAAUACGUAGGGUGCAAGCGUUGUCCGGAAUUAUUGGGCGCAAAGAGCUCGUAGGCGGUUUGUCGCGUCUGCUGUGAAAAUCCGAGGCUCAACCUCGGACCUGCAGUGGGUACGGGCAAACUAGAGUGCGGUAGGGGAGAUUGGAAUUCCUGGUGUAGCGGUGGUAUGCGCAGAUAUCAGGAGGAACACCAAUGGCGAAGGCAGAUCUCUGGGCCGUAACUGACGCUGAGGAGCGAAAGCGUGGGGAGCGAACAGGAUUAGAUACCCCCGUAGUC
rnacentral:rRNA from 1 species